AGAGUUUGAUCCUGGCUCAGGACGAACGCUGGCGGCGCGCCUAACACAUGCAAGUCGAACGAGCGAGAGAGAGCUUGCUUUCUCGAGCGAGUGGCGAACGGGUGAGUAACGCGUGAGGAACCUGCCUCAAAGAGGGGGACAACAGUUGGAAACGACUGCUAAUACCGCAUAAGCCCACGGGUCGGCAUCGACCAGAGGGAAAAGGAGCAAUCCGCUUUGAGAUGGCCUCGCGUCCGAUUAGCUAGUUGGUGAGGUAACGGCCCACCAAGGCGACGAUCGGUAGCCGGACUGAGAGGUUGAACGGCCACAUUGGGACUGAGACACGGCCCAGACUCCUACGGGAGGCAGCAGUGGGGAAUAUUGCACAAUGGGGGAAACCCUGAUGCAGCGACGCCGCGUGGAGGAAGAAGGUCUUCGGAUUGUAAACUCCUGUUGUUGAGGAAGAUAAUGACGGUACUCAACAAGGAAGUGACGGCUAACUACGUGCCAGCAGCCGCGGUAAAACGUAGGUCACAAGCGUUGUCCGGAAUUACUGGGUGUAAAGGGAGCGCAGGCGGGAAGACAAGUUGGAAGUGAAAUCUAUGGGCUCAACCCAUAAACUGCUUUCAAAACUGUUUUUCUUGAGUAGUGCAGAGGUAGGCGGAAUUCCCGGUGUAGCGGUGGAAUGCGUAGAUAUCGGGAGGAACACCAGUGGCGAAGGCGGCCUACUGGGCACCAACUGACGCUGAGGCUCGAAAGUGUGGGUAGCAAACAGGAUUAGAUACCCUGGUAGUCCACACCGUAAACGAUGAUUACUAGGUGUUGGAGGAUUGACCCCUUCAGUGCCGCAGUUAACACAAUAAGUAAUCCACCUGGGGAGUACGACCGCAAGGUUGAAACUCAAAGGAAUUGACGGGGGCCCGCAC
rnacentral:rRNA from 2 species